GAUGAACGCUGGCGGCGUGCCUAAUACAUGCAAGUCGAGCGAAUGGAUUAAGAGCUUGCUCUUAUGAAGUUAGCGGCGGACGGGUGAGUAACACGUGGGUAACCUGCCCAUAAGACUGGGAUAACUCCGGGAAACCGGGGCUAAUACCGGAUAACAUUUUGAACCGCAUGGUUCGAAAUUGAAAGGCGGCUUCGGCUGUCACUUAUGGAUGGACCCGCGUCGCAUUAGCUAUUUGGUGAGGUAACGGCUCACCAAGGCAACGAUGCGUACCCGACCUGAGAGGGUGAUCGGCCACACUGGGACUGAGACACGGCCCAGACUCCUACGGGAGACAGCAGUAGGGAAUCUUCCGCAAUGGACGAAAGUCUGACGGAGCAACGCCGCGUGAGUGAUGAAGGCUUUCGGGUCGUAAAACUCUGUUGUUAGGGAAGAACAAGUGCUAGUUGAAUAAGCUGGCACCUUGACGGUACCUAACCAGAAAGCCACGGCUAACUACGUGCCAGCAGCCGCCGUAA
rnacentral:rRNA from 1 species